rnacentral:lncRNA from 1 species
GCGACGAAAUCCUCUCUCUCUCUCUCUCUCUGGAUUUUGUGAGUUUUGAAAUCACAAACUUGUUACCUUAAAACUGAAAAAUAGCAUUGCUAAUCUCUGGAUUAAGAAAUUUUCCCAUCGCAAAAUGUGUGGCUGUGAUGCCCAAGGCCUGGGGCCCAUUCUUAAAAAAAAUGAAGCCCGAAAUAUUACCUACUACCACAGUGAGCACUUCACGGACAGGCGUUCUUCCGUCUUCUUCACACACUCCACAAUCCUCACUUCUAAUCUCCUGCUUCUGAACAAUUCUCAAGGUUUUCCUUGAUAUAGAGGCCCAAAAAUCCAAAAAUGUCAAUAUUCCAAAUGUUUAUAUCAAUUCCCACACCCUUACAGACCCUCUCUUCAUCAAGAACUCUUUCCGGCGGCUCGAGCGCUGCACAAGUAUUCUUUAACAAAAGAUUUCCACAUCAUUCUCUUACUAACUCCAGCAAUAUUCCCUGGCAAGCGACGACGAUUCGAAUGGGUGGUGGGCCUAGGACAUACCCAGGAGGGGUUUCGAAGUGGCAAUGGAAGAGGAUGCAGGCCAAAAAAGCGAAGCAGCUUCUCAAGGCCCGGUUGGCACGAGAACGACAAAUCUAUGAGAUGCGAAAGCGGGCCGAGCUUAAGGCUGCGGUAUCUGAACUAGAGAGGCCAUGGGAGGUUGUUGAGAAGGCUCCUACUUUGUUUUCUGUGAGUACUGACGAGCAGUUGAAAGUCUUGGCUGACCGGUUCCAGAAACCUGGUGGGUUGGACUUGUGGUCAGAAAGAGAUGGACCGGAAUUGUUCAGACCUGAUAAUGGGAUGCCCACCGCAAGGUUUUUCCCUAAGGGCGUUGUUCAUAGCAUCAAGCCCUAUGGGAAAAUUGAGAAACCUAGCGAUAGCUCGGGCAAUGAAAGUGAUGGGGAAAUGGGUUUGGAAAGAAAAGGUUCUAAUAGGAAUGCAAGAAAAAAGAGACUUGGAUUGGAUAACAAAGGCAAUUGGGAUGAUUUUACAGAAGAGAGUUUUAAGGAUAUGUCAAAUGAAGGUAACAGUGAAACUUUUCCAAACAGAAGGUUUGGGAAGAAGAGAAAUAGGAUUAAGUAUUCAAGUGACGCAGAGGGGUCGGGUGCGAGGGAAAAUGGAGUUCACAGUAGAGCUGGAGAGCGUAGGAGGGGCAAUGGCUAUGAGAAGAGUAAAGAUUCUGAAGUGUAUGACAUGAAUCUACAAAAUGAUGGGAGUUAUGGGUUAUGAAUGGGAGAGUUAAGGAUGUGAAGUAGUUUUGUGCAAAGUGUGCAGUGGGAAUUCUGGGAAUAUAGCUUGAGCUUGAGCAUGAUCAUAUAAUGGAUGUAUUUAGCUAAGAAAGAUGUUUUGAAGGGAGUGUAUUUCAGUAUAGUUGUAUAUUUUAGGCGCAAAUGUUCUGAAAAAAGAUAUAUGACACGGUCUUGGUCGUUGUCAUUUGUAUCAAAUGAGAGCUAAGGAUUUGGAAGAUUGUAAGGUAAUUUACAUACUAACCAUUUUGUUUCCUCACUAAGUAUUAAUAUAUGUGCUUGUUUACUGGGCGUCUGGCUUGUAAAUUGUACAAUUAGAACUGGCUUUCGAGUUCCACUAUCUGCAUAAUAAGUUCUGAUAGAAUAUUUAACACUGUCAAAUGCCCUUUUUUUAAUUGACAGUUCAUGUGUUCUACAAUCAGUGUUAGAACUUUAAUGUAACUCUAGGGGGACUUUAAAUCAAAUAAUCCCAAAAUUGUGGUGGCGAUGCGAAAUUUAUGGAGAAUAAGGCUCAGUUUUUUGUUGUUACUGUUGUUUAGGUGGAACAAUCUUGGUUACAUCCUUCAAGUUUAUUAGCUUUAUGAUGAUUUAACCAGAAUGUGAAUUGAUUACUCCCCUGAACUUCCAGAGGAAACUUGAUCUCAACUUAAAUGAUCCCAAUUAUCAGGUUUCUUUUGGCAGAACAAGCCUGGUUAUGUUUUACACUUUUA